UGAAAAAUGGGAUACUGAAAAGCAAUCAUUCGCCGUAGAACUGGAAAUUUAAAAGUAAUUUAAUUUCGCAACACUCAGUUUCAGUGGAAGCUAGUGGAUAAGAGCUGUGACCAGACAAAAUAUACGUAUUUUUCUUUUCCAUUUGCAAGCUAUUGCAAACACCUACAUACAUGGG